AACCUGCCCCUGACUCCGGGAUAAGCGGUGGAAACGCCGUCUAAUACCGGAUAUGACCUGCCACCUCAUGGUGGCGGGUGGAAAGUUUUAUCGGUCAGGGAUGGGCUCGCGGCCUAUCAGCUUGUUGUUGGGGUAAAGGCCUACCAAGGCGAUUACGGGUAGCCGGCCUGAGAGGGCGACCGGCCACACUGGGACUGAGACACGGCCCAGACUCCUACGGGAGGCAGCAGUGGGGAAUAUUGCACAAUGGGCGAAAGCCUGAUGCAGCGACGCCGCGUGGGGGAUGACGGCCUUCGGGUUGUAAACCUCUUUUACCACCAACGCAGGCUCCGGGUUCUCUCGGGGUUGACGGUAGGUGGGGAAUAAGGACCGGCUAACUACGUGCCAGCAGCCGCGGUAAUACGUAGGGUCCGAGCGUUGUCCGGAAUUAUUGGGCGUAAAGAGCUCGUAGGCGGCAUGUCGCGUCUGCUGUGAAAGACCGGGGCUUAACUCCGGUUCUGC
rnacentral:rRNA from 1 species